UAAAGAUACAGAGUACAACGCAGAUACAAACAAGGUAGUUCCGGUACGGACUACAAAACAAGGGAAAUGCUAUGCUACCCGCUGCAGGCCCACGAUCACGACCACGGCUCAGUCUUCUGGAUAGUUCACGUAAAGGCGAUCUGUCUCCUCGUCGUACUGCCACGCCAGCUGGGUGCCGUCGGGAUCGUCUGACUCUGGGGUACCUGUACCUGCUGGAAGUUUCGGAGGAAUCCGUGAGUCACGGGGACUCAGCAAUCUAAGACCUUGGUGCCAGACCUAGUUAGGUUAAUGGGUAAGGAAGGGAUGAAGUGUUUCCGGCUGCUGCAUCCUAAGAUUGAAUAAGUGGCUAACUUACGCAAAGGGAAAAGUGACAGUGAUCUAUACUAACGGACGUGAAUACUUGAUCCGAAAGUGAUCCUGAACACCUACCUACGGCAUUCAUAACCCCGCCGUGUUCCCGAUCGAAGAGAGACCUUCGAGGGGACAGUCACGGAUACGCACACUGUUGACAUGUUUUAUUAGUUUAUGUUUAAGUUUUCUAAUACCGGAUGUUAACAAAAUAUUCCAAGUUGCCACAUAACCGCGGGCACGGCUUUCCGAAAAGAUUAAACCCUGCAGGGGUGCUCCAACUAGUCCAUCACAAACGAACACAGGCCGCAAAGUCACCCUCUAUCACGAAUCUCGUGAUCUCGUCGGAUUCCUUAGAGGAAAACCUCAACUCUGGGGUAAACCAAAGCCUCACCGGGAUUCCUAUACGCAAGAUAUACCGCUAAGGUAAGACAAGGCUAGCAGGACCUCCCGGUGUGUCGACGACCCGAUAAGAGCCGCGUAUCUCCGUCUCAGGACAACACCGUCUAUGCAAAGUGGACAAGGACCAAACCUCAAGUUACCCCGGGGUGGUCUUGCCGACUGCUAGGUGGUUGGACCAACACUCAUGAGGAGCACUGGCCCGGGUUGUUGAUUAGGAUCCUCGGGGUAGCUAUUCCCUAUGCAGAUUAUUGUUAGGUGAUUAGCAGAUAGUACCAAAGUUGGGUCCUGCCGGACAAGCCUUAACACUACGCGGUUUAUCAAGGGGGUCCCCAUAACAACCCCGAACGUGUUAGGAGCGAUCAUUAUGGAAUCAAACACCGGUAACCGGUAACUAAGGCGGCAAUAACGGAACAAGACACCCGGCAAAAGGCUAGGCCUCCCGUCAUUUACCAAAUAUAUAGAUACAUUAAUAAAAUAACAGAAAUUAACAUAAUGAUAUCAAGCCCAUGGCAACUCAUGAGUUAUAAACACCUGCAACUAGCAAUGCUAACAUUAGUAGCUGAGCAAGCCUACCUAGCCUUGCAAGUUUGCUAGGAAAGGGUAAGGUGUUUAGGCUCAUGGCAUAUGAAGAGGUAAUAUAUUUCCAGUGGUAGGCAGCGAGCAAUAUGACGUAGAAUCGAAACUAACAUAACAAGUCUAGAUAUGGGAUCAAGGUCAUGUCAUCUUGCCUGUGAUAUCCUCAGCUUGGAAUGGUUCUGGAUCGUCCUGCAAGUACUCUCCUGACUCCACGUAAUCGGUCUCCGCUCCCGGUGCUACCCAACACAGGAAUAACAGCCAAUGAACAGCAGCACCACAAAAUGCAACAAUCACAUGAUGCAUGAGAUGAAAGUUGAGCAUGCACCACUAUUUCUAACACUAGCACAAGCAAGAUAAACUACAACGAGUUCCUGGACAGAACUUUGCACUAAACUAUUUGGACAUGCAUGGAAAUGAUAUGGACAGAUGCAUCUCGUAAAAACGGUGCAAAACCAUAUAAAGAACUUUGCAAACGGAGCUACGGAUCAACGGGAAUCAACGAAACACGAUAUGAAGUCCUACGUGAAAGAUUCAUCACCACACACACAAUUGGCACAAAUCUGGUGUUCCCAGGUUGCCAAGACAUAUAUUAACCCAACAUGAAUGAAAUGGAGCAAGGUAGAACACCCCAACAACAAUUAAACACAAACUUUGAACAAAAUGUCAAAACUACGCAAUCUGCCAGUUUCUGCAUCUUAGCUGUUUGUGAGCCACAUGCAACAUAGCUACAGGUCUUCAAACAUGACAAAUAAUAUAUGUGGAUGUUGCCAACCAAGAACACUACCAUCUCCAGCAAGAAUCACAGCAAAAGGAAUUAAACUCUAGAAGAUACAAGGCCACAAACUUUCCCAAAACCAUCAGUUCUCAGGGACUUAGUGAAAAUUUCUGCACCUGAGUUUCUUUUUCUGUUCUGAAGCCUUUUGACAGCAAUCAAAACACAAGCUACUGGACUCCAAAUGACUUGAAAAUUGACAGGAAGCUGCACAAACAUACCAGGGUCAAAACACUAGCACUGAACUAAGUCCAGUCCUCAACAUACUGACCUGCACAACCUUAUCUACAGCGGAAGAAAAUGUUUUCAGCAUUCCAGACUUAGUGAAAUUUUCAGAGUUCAAAAUUCUGGAAUUUUUCCAGCCACAUGCCCACUUUGUCUAGGCAUAGUUUGCACACACAAGUUCCCAAGAGGUGUUUGACACCACUAUGGUAUUGAGCACAAACCCCUACAACUAGCACUCCAAGAUCCAUGCCUUUGGGCUCCAUCUAUAUCAUGGAAACAAAGCCCAAACUUUCAACAAAGUGCAAAUGCAUCCCAUUAGGUAUGCUCCUAAAAUGACAAGUACAUAGGAGAGUUUCAUGUGCACAAUGACAAAGUGACAUGGGGGUUUGAACCCCAUGUUUGUGUCAUGCACAUCAACAAUUCCCACACCACAAUUCCUCUCAAGCACUAGCAUCAAGCUCACACAUAAGAAAUCUUUAUCCAACAAGAGAGUAUGCACACACACUCAAAUGUCAAGGCAUCUCACAUCUCCCAUUUAACAAGGUUAGCUCCACUUCACUAAGGUGCACCCUCCAUAGACAUCCAAGCAUUGCAAGUUCAUACACAAACACAAACUCUUAUGCACAAAACAACCCUUGUGGGUGUGCCACCAUGCACACACCCCAACACCAACCUACACCAAGCCUAAUACAAGCACACACUAUGCAGGAAAGGAGAAAACUAAAGGCCAAGGAAGGGGAAAAAAAAUACCACAUGCAAAUAGGGAAGUUUAGCUACCAUCUAGCAAGGAAGGGAAAAAAAAUUGACAAGAAAACAAUGUUCAGAGAAAAAGGGGGAGGUGCUGGGGUCGAACCCCAGACCUGCUGGAGUGCAAGCCGCAAUCCUACCACUCUGCUAGGCUCUAGGUACUCGACAAAAAGGGACCCAAACAGAGGAACUGCUAUCUGCUCUGCCCUGCUGAUAAAACAGGAAAAAGAAAGCAAAAAGGGGGAUGAUUCUACUGGGAUUCGAACCCUACACCUGAUGAAAGAUCAACGCACCUUCUACCACUGUGCUACGACGCAUUGUCUGACAGAGGAGGGAAAUAAUGCAUCCUGACAUGGCCUCGCUUCAGGUCGCUGGACUGCACCUGCGAUCCGGUGACAGGGAGGUCACCGGAGCUGCAUCUCUGUCCCGUCUCUACUACGCCUGCGGGAGAGGGAAAGGGCUCCUGCGCGUCUACCUUGUACCGUCCCUCAUCAACCAACUACCCUGCUAUACACCACGCACACACACACUCCUGACGACCUCUCCUGGGAACAGAGAACCCUCUACUAUGCCUGCUAACUCAUGGGGAAGGGAGGAGGCGGUCGUCACCUAGAACCGGAAGAGGGGGCGCCGAUCUGCAACGGGAGAGUGCCGGAGAGGAAGAAGGGCGUCGGAGUAGCUGAUCCUGAACCGAAGAAACGCUGCAGGGGAAAGAGCACCGGGAGCUUGCCGUAGACGUGGACGGAUCCGGCGGAGCAGCCGGUCCCCGGGGCUCCUAGUGCCGGGAAUGGAUCGCGGGGAUCCACCCCGAGCUCCUGGACAUGGUGACGGCGGCGAUCUGCAACGGGAGCGAGGCGUCCGCCGGCGAGGAGCUGCACCACUUGGUCUACCCCUACAGGAACCCUCCUGUAGACGGGAGGAGAGAUGGGAAAGAGGAGAAGAGGUGGCGGCGGCGGACUGGGGAGAAGAGGAACCCUAGGAGGAGAGGGGAGGCACGGGCGCCCGGCUUAUAAGGGUCCCCCUCGACGUUGGCGCCCUCACGGCGUCAAC
rnacentral:lncRNA from 1 species